rnacentral:lncRNA from 1 species
GGGUGGGUGAGGUGGCACCUGAACCUAGAAACUAGAAGAAAGGCCUCGUGCUGGUUCUGUGGUUUCCUGAGGGUUGUCACGUGCUUUUUGGCUCUCCUGCAGUCACAAAGAUCGACGUGCAGAUGCUAUCUCCAUUCGUUGUAUAAAAGCUCAGGUGGCAGAGCACCCCACUGGAUCUCAGCGCUCCGAACCAUUGACAGAGCAAGCCGGGAUACUGUCGUGAAUGCUGAUCCUUAUUAUUACCAGAGUGAAAAGAAGCUGUAGAGCUUGCAAAAGGUCUUUCCUGUAGAUGUGAGUACUGCUGGGAUGUCUGUUGGACUUCAACAAAUACAGUAAAGACUUAAAAAUUACCACUUGUCUGGGAUGAGAAGAAUUUAUUGGGUGGGAUCUAACUGAAUGAUUGUUUUCUUGAGAUAGCCUGAAUGUGAAUGAAAAUUAUUUUUAUUGAGGUUCUUGGGAUAUGUUUUAGCCAAAAGUACUUAUCAUUUCAUUUCACUAUAACUGAGUCAAUCUGGC